CUCACCAUGGCUCUCCUUCACGCAUAGGUUGUCCUCCAUUGAAGCGCAUUCUGGGCUUUCUCACCUCCAUUGCCGCGCAACUCCUCUCUUUCUCUCCAUAUAUAGCUAUAUCCUCCAUUGAAGCGCAUACUGUCGAGCUUUCUGACCUCCAUUGAAGCGCAUUUCAAGCUUUCCAACUCCAUUGUAGCAGCUUCGAGCUAGGGUUUUUCAUUGAAGCGCGCACGGCUCUACCUCCACCACAACGGCCUCCUUAUCACGGCAGCAGGGCCUUCUUUUUCUAGGGUUUAUCGUCAAUUCCCCCCUUUUUCUUUGAUCUUUUUUGUUCGAUAUUUUUUUAUUAUUGAAGAUUUCUUGUGUACUAUGUGUGUUAGUGUGUGAUUGUUGUUUGUUUUUGUUUCUUUGAGAUGUACUGGUACAACUGUUAGUGUGUGAUGAAACAUGAUUGAUUGAAAUUAUGUUGUUCAAGCUUGAUGGUAUGUCUCUUUUCUCAACAUUGAUUGAAUUUAUAUGAUGAAUCAAGUGUUGUGUUUGGUAUCUGAAUCGUAUUUGUUCUUCAUGGUUUUCAGCGAAGAGCUGAGUUGAAGGGGAGGGUUAGAUGAGCUUUGAAGCACUCGUAGUCAAUUGAAUUGCGCACUAAGGAUGUAAGUGUGAUAUUGCACUUAUGUGUAUUUGAUAUUUGAUCUUGUGGAAAUUGUUGUCAAAAUUAAAAUCAGUGUACCUGUUACAAUGUUGUAUUGUUUGUUUGUUAUAUUAUUAGUUUAAUUAAAGCAGGGCCCGGGGGGGGGGGGGGGUAGUGUUGUGGUAUACUUCCUCCACGGCUCUGCUCCUUUAACAACUUGUACGUUUUGCAUGGAGAUAAGGAGAGUAAAAAAAUAGAGAUUAGAGUGGGUGAGUGAGUGGAUCCUGGAUGCAGGGGUCCAACUCAAAGGAAAUGUAGAGAGGACAACUUACAAAUGUUAACUUGUUAGCUUGGAAGAUGCUAGCUUGUUAGGAGGAUAGGAGAGUAAUUUCAAGGUAUUGCAAUGCGUGUACAUAUAUAUCAGUAUAUGCUGUAUAUAUAUAAAUGCAUAGCAUUCUCUCUUCAUUGACAAGCAAUAUAAUGACAUUACAUACCAACUGCUACUUUUGUUGCUGAGAAAGAAGCUUGGCGUAGAAAAGCAAUCCAAGAACGGGUGCAAGACUUCCGAGACUUCACUGGAAUCCCCAUUACAAGUCACAUUGUCUCAAUUAUAGUGGGAAGUGAAGAGAAUUCCUUGCUAGCCAGUCGGUAUGCUGAAAUCUGGAUUUCAUGUCACUGCAAUUAGACCACCAACAGUCCCUCCUAAUUCUUGCAGACUGAGAAUAACUUUGAGCGCUGCUAAUCAUGCUUCUUAUGCGUUAAUAGUUAUUUUCAGAAGAAUCCUUCACCUACUAGUUGUGAUUUUGGGGGUGCUGCUCAGCUAGUCAACACUAAUCCUAUCAAGGGUCAAAAUUAGUUCUCGAGGGAAGACACAAUGCUGAUACAGGAUGAUCUGAGCUGAGACUGAGAGGAAAUGCUUAGGAGUAAAGGUCGCUGCACUCGACUAACGCUAUGAUCGAAAUGCUUCUAAUGCAAGCUUAAUUAGUCUUAGUCUGCCUGAGAGCCUUUUGCAUGUCCAUGUUGUUUGUGCUUAUGUAACAUUGCAUGUUAUUUUUUUUUGAUGAAAAUUGUAAUAUUAUAGCCUUUUAUAA